rnacentral:lncRNA from 12 species
AGCUACUUGUCCCAUCCAGAGUCCUAUCAAUCUGCUACCAUCCAUCAUGAGUCAACAGUGAAAACAGGGAAAGGUAUAUUCUAGACCAUAAGUCAAUUCUGACUACUAUGGUUUCACAUCUAUCUGGUGUAUUUCAUAGUAGUUGAUACUCAUGUCCUUUUAUUAUGUCUGACAUUAGAGAUGGUCCAGCUGGAACAGAGAUGGAGCAACACCCUGCAAAUUCCACACUCUAACACGUGGCUGGGUGUGAGCAAACACUACGGCUCACGUUGGCGCCUAACCUCAAGAAACACUUGGCAGGAAACCAGAAGCUACCAUUCUCCACUUUUUCAACUAUAACUUCAAUUGCAGACUGUUAAUAUUAAUGAGAAAUUUGAAUUUGGAAUCCGGAUGCAUUAGUCCUGAAGUCUUCACGAGGUCACAGAUAUUGAGUUAAAAAAUGGAAUAAAGUGUUCAUGAAUACUGGAUCCUGUCCCA